GGCCCCAUCGUCUAGCGGCUAGGACAGUAGGUUCUCAACCUACAGACCAGGGUUCGAUUCCCUGUGGGGUCA
rnacentral:tRNA from 1 species